ACGGAAGGCAGCAGUAGGGAAUAUUGCACAAUGGGUGAAACCCUGAUGCAGCAACGCCACGUGUGGGAAGAAGCAUUUCGGUGUGUAAACCACUGUCGUGAGGGAAUAAUGCUUGGUCUCGGACAAGUUGAAUGUACCUCGAAAGGAAGCACCGGACAACUUCGUGCCAGCCGCCGCGGUAAUACGAGGGGUGCAAGCGUUGUUCGGAAUCACUGGGCGUAAAGGGAGCGCAGGCGGAGAUGCAAGCAGUCUGUACAAUACCGGGGCCCAACCCCAGACCUGCAGACUGGACUGUUUCUCUUGGAUAGUUCAGGGGCAAGCGGAAUUCCUGGUGUAGCGGUGGAAUGCGUAGAGAUCAGGAAGAACACCGAUGGCGAAGGCAGCUUGCUGGGGACUUAUCGACGCUCAUGCUCGAAAGUGCGGGUAGCAAACAGGAUUAGAUACCCUGGUA
rnacentral:rRNA from 1 species